rnacentral:lncRNA from 1 species
UCAGAGGUGAUGUGUGGGAUUGCAAGACAUGUUUGACUGACCCUAGACCGAGAGGGGGGCCUCCAGAACAGAGUAAGAAUAGACUGGCCAUCUGCAUACAGCCAGGUCAUUAAUUAGCCUGAGUUGUUAGCUCUGCCUGCACCCGGGACAUCACAAGGACAGAUUCCACCCCCCUUCUCUGGACUCUUGAGCCCUGACAAGGAGGACUCGGGAGAAUCACUGACACAGACUGCCCCUCUCUGUACAGGUGAGGGCUUGGACAUCAGGCACUCUGCAGGUAGCAGCUGAAGAAGACAUCUCCUUCCUCCUCUCCUACCUGAUAUUGGACUUGAGAAACAGGGUGGUGUGGGACAUAAGGGACCACUUUGUUUGGGACGGCCAGGACUGUGACAAUCAUCAAAAAUUGAUGCAGCUUGUCCCCUAUAUCUGAGUGAGGAACACUGGAGACACAGGGACUAAAUAGGAACAAGAAACAAGACACACUGGAAGGACAUGAAUAUGCACACGGAACUAGGAACAGGAAUGAAGUGGAACACCCUCUAGGGGUUGGAUGUCGACCAUGCAAGUACCACACAUAGAAUAAGCUGCACAGCCCAGGGGAGGAGGAAAAACCUCAUUUAACUGUCAGGAAACCUCCGGGAGUCCACGGCUGAGAUCUACCCCCUCCUCCAGGGUAAUACAAUAAACUUUAUUAACAUGUGGUAGAGGGAGCCGGAAGUCCAUGACAGUUGUGGCCAACAUUAAGGUAGUGUCAACAUUUGCAGUUUUUGGGAUCUUCAAAGCAAGGAAGAAGAUAUAACAACAUCUUAAUUUUAUAAAGAGCUGUUGAUCAUUCAAAAAUAAAACCAAAUACAGAAAUCUUGCAAAAGUCACUUCUAGCAUCAAUCACUCAGUGGUUGGCACAUAUGCUGUAUCUUACAUGUCAUUAUGUCGUAUGUUUAUAUGUAACAUACUAAAGCCUUUUACAAAUGUACUACAGUUUUGAAAGGCAUUGGCCACUCAUAGCCAUUUGGUAUGAUCCUGUGUUCUGGAAACUUUGCAACAAGAUUUGAGAAUAAGUGUAUUCCUUAACAGUCCAGCAAGCCAUUUUUUCACUAGCAGAGUGUGUGCAUGCAUUUGUUUUUUUUUAGAAAAAAAAAAGAUCAG